GGUGAAGAACGUAGCGAAAUGCGAUAAGUAAUGUGAAUUGCAGAAUUCAGUGAAUCAUCGAAUCUUUGAACGCACAUUGCGCCCGCCAGUAUUCUGGCGGGCAUGCCUGUUCGAGCGUCAUUUCAACCCUCAAGCCCCAGCGGUUUGGUGUUGGGGACCGGCGAGUACAGAGGCUUUGGGGACUUGUCCCCCUUCCCUCGGCGCCGCCCCCGAAAUGAAUUGGCGGUCUCGUCGCGGCCUCCUCUGCGUAGUAGCACAACCUCGCAUCAGGAGCGCGGCGCGGCCACUGCCGUAAAACGCCCAACUUUUUUUAAGAGUUGACCUCGAAUCAGGUAGGAAUACCCGCUGAACUUAAGCAUAUCAAUAAGCGGAGGA
rnacentral:misc_RNA from 1 species